AAAAAUGACUCUCGGCAACGGAUAUCUCGGCUCUUGCAUCGAUGAAGAACGUAGCGAAAUGCGAUACUUGGUGUGAAUUGCAGAAUCCCGUGAACCAUCGAGUCUUUGAACGCGAGUUGCGCCCAAAGCCAUUUGGUUGAGGGCACGCCUGCCUGGGUGUCGUG
rnacentral:rRNA from 3 species